rnacentral:tRNA from 1 species
GGGCCGUUGGUGCAGUGGUCAAGCACGCAGCCUUCGAAUGGCUGAGGUUACCGGUUCGAAUCCGGUCGGGUUCA